rnacentral:lncRNA from 10 species
CAAGAAUGGACACAGAAGACUUAUUCAUUAAAGCUCCAAAGAGGAAACGGCCCAGGGGAAUAUCAACAGGCAAAUGAAGAAACAAAGUGUGGUAUGUUGAAAUAAUUGAUUACUAUUCAACAAUGAAAAGGAAUGAGCUGCAUGCAUCCACCUGCAUGAAUCUCACAAACAUCAUGCUUAGCUGAAGACCAGACACACAAGAGCAGACACUGGAUGAUGCCAUUUACAUAAUGUUCCAGAACGGGUGACAGUAAUACGUCAUGACGGACAUCAGAUAGGG